AAAAAUAAGAGUUUGAUCCUGGCUCAAAACGAACGCUAGUUAUAUGCUUAACAAAUGCAAGUAAAACAUAGUUUGCUUCCCCAUACAUCCAUGUGGGGGCAGAAGGGCAAGAGGAAUGACCCCCUCCUAGCACGUGCUCACUCACUCAAAUGAUAUGCAAGUGGUGUGUCGGGCAUGGGGAACAACAAGAAAAGUGGUGAACGAGUGCGUAAUGCAUGGGAAUCUGCCAAACAGUUCACUCCAAAUCCUGAAUAAUUCAUAAAGCAAGCUAAUUUUCAUUUUUUGAUGAGCCUGAGUAGUAUCAAGUAGUUUGUUAGGUAAAGGAUGACCAAUCCAAUGAUGCUUAGUUGGUCUUUUUGGAUGAUCAACCACAUUGGGACUGAGACAUGACCUAGACUCCCUUGGGGGGAUGCAGUGGGAAUAUUGGACAAUGGGCUCAUGCCCGAUCCAACAAUAUCGCGUGGGUGAAUAAGGGCAUUGUUGCUUGUCAAGAUAUUUUGUUGAGUUUCGAUCAUGACAGGACUCUAGGAAUAAUCCUUGACUAACUCUGUGCCAACAACCAUGAUAAGACAGGGGGGUAAGUGUUAUUCAAAGUGAUUGGGUGUAAAGUGCACGUAGGAGGUGAAAAGGGUGGAAAGUGAAAGUCGUCAAAGCACUAGCAGGGUACUUUCUUUACCAUUUCACUUGAGUGAGAUAGGGGAGACUGGAAUUUCAUGUGGAGGGAUCAAAUCCUAAGAUAUAUGAAGGAACACCAACUGCAAAGGUAGCUCUUUGGGUCCCCACUGACGCUGGGGUGCAAAAGCAUAGGGAGAAAACAUGAUCAGAUAACCUGGUAGUCUAUGCCAUAAGUGUUGAGUGUUCGUCCUUGGUAUA
rnacentral:ncRNA from 1 species